GUGGGGAAUCUUCCGCAAUGGGCGAAAGCCUGACGGAGCAACGCCGCGUGAGUGAAGAAGGUCUUCGGAUCGUAAAGCUCUGUUGUCGGGGACGAAUGUUGAGGCCUAGAACAUAGGUUUCAAAUGACGGUACCUGACGAGGAAGCCACGGCUAACUACGUGCCAGCAGCCGCGGUAAUACGUAGGUGGCGAGCGUUGUCCGGAAUUAUUGGGCGUAAAGGGAGCGCAGGCGGGAAGGUAAGUCUAUCUUAAAAGUGCGGGGCUCAACCCCGUGAGGGGAUAGAAACUAUUUUUCUUGAGUGCAGGAGAGGAAAGCGGAAUUCCUAGUGUAGCGGUGAAAUGCGUAGAUAUUAGGAGGAACACCAGUGGCGAAGGCGGCUUUCUGGACUGUAACUGACGCUGAGGCUCGAAAGCCAGGGGAGCGAACGGG
rnacentral:rRNA from 1 species